UGAGGAACGUCCCCGCUCCAUACGAAACGCGGCCCGUCGCAAGCCGGGCGGCCGAGAGGCCGGGCAACCGCACCGAAACGAGACCGCCGCCAAGGAGGAUGACCGAGCGAUCGCGACGCUCUUGGCGGGACGGGUGGAACGGCGAGCCCCCGCGGGAGCAAGUCGGGAAUCCGACGCUUAGUACAAUGCCGCCUGAAACAGAACGGGGCGUACAACGGGCACCU
rnacentral:RNase_P_RNA from 2 species